rnacentral:rRNA from 1 species
ACGCGUGAGAAUCUGGCUCUAGGUUCGGGACAACCACUGGAAACGGUGGCUAAUACCGGAUGUGCCGAGAGGUGAAAGGUUAACUGCCUGGAGAUGAGCUCGCGUCUGAUUAGCUAGUUGGUGGUGUAAGGGACUACCAAGGCGACGAUCAGUAGCUGGUCUGAGAGGAUGAUCAGCCACACUGGAACUGAGACACGGUCCAGACUCCUACGGGAGGCAGCAGUGGGGAAUUUUCCGCAAUGGGCGAAAGCCUGACGGAGCAAUACCGCGUGAGGGAGGAAGGCUCUUGGGUUGUAAACCUCUUUUCUCAGGGAAUAAGCAAGUGAAGGUACCUGAGGAAUCAGCAUCGGCUAACUCCGUGCCAGCAGCCGCGGUAAUACGGAGGAUGCAAGCGUUAUCCGGAAUGAUUGGGCGUAAAGCGUCCGUAGGUAGCAGUGUGUGUCUAUUGUUAAAGAGUUUGGCUUAACCAAAUAAAGGCGGUAGAAACUACACAGCUAGAGUGCGUUCGGGGCAGAGGGAAUUCCUGGUGUAGCGGUGAAAUGCGUAGAGAUCAGGAAGAACACCGGUGGCGAAAGCGCUCUGCUAGGCCGCAACUGACACUGAGGGACGAAAGCUAGGGGAGCGAAUGGGAUUAGAUACCCC